UCUUUUCCUUUUUUUCCAGCAGCCGCGGUAAUACGGAGGAUCCGAGCGUUAUCCGGAUUUAUUGGGUUUAAAGGGAGCGUAGGCGGACGCUUAAGUCAGUUGUGAAAGUUUGCGGCUCAACCGUAAAAUUGCAGUUGAUACUGGGUGUCUUGAGUACAGUAGAGGCAGGCGGAAUUCGUGGUGUAGCGGUGAAAUGCUUAGAUAUCACGAAGAACUCCGAUUGCGAAGGCAGCUUGCUGGACUGUAACUGACGCUGAUGCUCGAAAGUGUGGGUAUCAAACAGG
rnacentral:rRNA from 1 species